rnacentral:rRNA from 1 species
AACGAACGCUGGCGGCAUGCCUAACACAUGCAAGUCGAACGAGACCUUCGGGUCUAGUGUCGCACGGGUGCGUAACGCGUGGGAACCUUCCCUUAGGUUCGGAAUAACUCCCCGAAAGGGGUGCUAAUACCGGAUAGUGUCUUCGGCCCAAAGAUUUAUCGCCUUUGGAUGGGCCCGCGUUGGAUUAGCUAGUUGGUAGGGUAAAAGCCUACCAAGGCGACGAUCCAUAGCUGGUCUGAGAGGAUGAUCAGCCACACUGGGACUGAGACACGGCCCAGACUCCUACGGGAGGCAGCAGUGGGGAAUAUUGGACAAUGGGCGAAAGCCUGAUCCAGCAAGGCCGCGUGAGUGAUGAAGGCAUUAGGGUUGUAAAGCUCUUUUAACCGGGAUGAUAAUGACAGUACCGGGAGAAUAAGCUCCGGCUAACUCCGUG